rnacentral:tRNA from 1 species
GAGGGUAUAGCUCAGUGGUAGAGUGAAUGCCUAGCAUACACAGCGUCCUGGGUUCCAUCCCCAAUACCUCCA